CGAUUGACGGAGCGAAGCGACGUCAAAGCGUUCAUUAAAGUCGAGUUGGCUUAGGGAUACGUUCGUUGGGUAGGGGAGCGUUCUGUAAGCCUGUGAAGGUGUGUCGUGAGGCAUGCUGGAGGUAUCAGAAGUGCGAAUGCUGACAUAAGUAACGAUAAAGCGGGUGAAAAGCCCGCUCGCCGGAAGACCAAGGGUUCCUGUCCAACGUUAAUCGGGGCAGGGUGAGUCGACCCCUAAGGCGAGGCCGAAAGGCGUAGUCGAUGGGAAACGGGUUAAUAUUCCCGUACUUGGUGUUACUGCGAAGGGGGGACGGAGAAGGCUAUGUUGGCCGGGCGACGGUUGUCCCGGUUUAAGCGUGUAGGUGUGUGUUCCAGGUAAAUCCGGUUCACUUUAACACUGAGGCGUGAUGACGAGGCACUACGGUGCUGAAGCAACAAAUGCCCUGCUUCCAGGAAAAGCCUCUAAGCAUCAGGUAACAUCAAAUCGUACCCCAAACCGACACAGGUGGUCAGGUAGAGAAUACCAAGGCGCUUGAGAGAACUCGGGUGAAGGAACUAGGCAAAAUGGUGCCGUAACUUCGGGAGAAGGCACGCUGACACGUAGGUGAAGUGAUUUACUCACGGAGCUGAAGUCAGUCGAAGAUACCAGCUGGCUGCAACUGUUUAUUAAAAACACAGCACUGUGCAAACACGAAAGUGGACGUAUACGGUGUGACGCCUGCCCGGUGCCGGAAGGUUAAUUGAUGGGGUCAGCGCAAGCGAAGCUCCUGA
rnacentral:rRNA from 1 species